AAGUCGAGCGGACAGAAGGGAGCUUGCUCCCGGAUGUUAGCGGCGGACGGGUGAGUAACACGUGGGUAACCUGCCUGUAAGACUGGGAUAACUCCGGGAAACCGGAGCUAAUACCGGAUAGUUCCUUGAACCGCAUGGUUCAAGGAUGAAAGACGGUUUCGGCUGUCACUUACAGAUGGACCCGCGGCGCAUUAGCUAGUUGGUGGGGUAAUGGCUCACCAAGGCGACGAUGCGUAGCCGACCUGAGAGGGUGAUCGGCCACACUGGGACUGAGACACGGCCCAGACUCCUACGGGAGGCAGCAGUAGGGAAUCUUCCGCAAUGGACGAAAGUCUGACGGAGCAACGCCGCGUGAGUGAUGAAGGUUUUCGGAUCGUAAAGCUCUGUUGUUAGGGAAGAACAAGUGCGAGAGUAACUGCUCGCACCUUGACGGUACCUAACCAGAAAGCCACGGCUAACUACGUGCCAGCAGCCGCGGUAAUACGUAGGUGGCAAGCGUUGUCCGGAAUUAUUGGGCGUAAAGGGCUCGCAGGCGGUUUCUUAAGUCUGAUGUGAAAGCCCCCGGCUCAACCGGGGAGGGUCAUUGGAAACUGGGAAACUUGAGUGCAGAAGAGGAGAGUGGAAUUCCACGUGUAGCGGUGAAAUGCGUAGAGAUGUGGAGGAACACCAGUGGCGAAGGCGACUCUCUGGUCUGUAACUGACGCUGAGGAGCGAAAGCGUGGGGAGCGAACAGGAUUAGAUACCCUGGUAGUCCACGCCGUAAACGAUGAGUGCUAAGUGUUAGGGGGUUUCCGCCCCCUUAGUGCUGCAGCUAACGCAUUAAGCACUCCGCCUGGGGAGUACGGUCGCAAGACUGAAACUCAAAGGAAUUGACGGGGGCCCGCACAAGCGGUGGA
rnacentral:rRNA from 1 species